CCCCAGACUCCUACGGGAGGCAGCAGUGGGGGAUAUUGCACAAUGGGGGAAACCCUGAUGCAGCGACGCCGCGUGGGUGAAGAAGCGCCUCGGCGCGUAAAGCCCUGUCAGCAGGGAAGAAAAUGACGGUACCUGAAGAAGAAGCCCCGGCUAACUACGUGCCAGCAGCCGCGGUAAUACGUAGGGGGCAAGCGUUAUCCGGAUUUACUGGGUGUAAAGGGGGCGCAGACGGCGAUGCAAGCCAGGAGUGAAAGCCCGUGGCUCAACCGCGGAACCGCUUUGGAAACUGCGAGGCUGGAGUGCUGGAGAGGUAAGCGGAAUUCCUGGUGUAGCGGUGGAAUGCGUAGAUAUCAGGAGGAACACCGGUGGCGAAGGCGGCUUACUGGACAGUGACUGACGUUGAGGCUCGAAAGCGUGGGGAGCGAACAGGAUUAGAUACCCUGGUAG
rnacentral:rRNA from 1 species